AUGAGGUUCUCAACGUCAUUGCAGCAGGUUGUACUUCUGAAUGGCUGUACCAGAGAAGCCUGCAGGAGUCCUUUUCAGGCAGGAUUCUGUUGGAAAGCGGUGCGAUCCCUGGAUGCUGAAGCUGCCGCUACACAAAUGAGGGCUUUAACAUACGCACUCGGCAUACCGUUGUGUGUCGAAGUCGUGGACAAGAGCUUGACGGAUAAGGGUGUCUUAGUGAAGCGCCUCGAUUUCUUCAAUGAGACAGAGUGGGAGAAGGGCCCUCUCUGUUUGACUCGGAGCUACCUUUCUUCGAGCACAGCUCCUAUACCGCUGGAGUAG
rnacentral:rRNA from 1 species